GUGCUCGCUUUGGCAGCGCACAUAGUAAAAUUGGAAUGAUACAAACAAGAUUAGCGUGGCCCCUGCACAAGGAUGACACAAAUUCAUAAAGUGUUCCAUAUUUUA
ensembl:snRNA U6 U6 spliceosomal RNA